UGUCCAUUUGAAGAUUUAAAUGGUCUGGCCUGCUCACUGAUAAAAUUAUUUAAGAGCCGCGGUAUAUUGACCGUGCAAAGGUAGCAUAAUCAUUAGGGGUUUAAUUGGAACCUGGAAUGAAGGGUCGGACAAAGGAAGAACUGUCUGUUAAGGUUUAAUUUGAAGUUUACUUUUAAGUGAGAAGGCUUAAAUAUAUCAAAGGGACGAUAAGACCCUAUAAAGCUUUAUAAAUAAUUUGAAUUUAAUUAAUUUAAAUAAUAAAAGUCAAAUUUAAUUAUUUUAUUUUGUUGGGGUGAUAUGAGUAUAAUUUUAGUUAACUGCUUAAAAAAAAUUCUUUUAUAAAAGGUUUAAAAAUGAAUGAUCCUUUUUAAAGACUAGAAAACUAAGUUACUUUAGGGAUAACAGCGUUAUUUUUUUUGAGAGUUCAUAUCGAAAAAAAAGAUUGCGACCUCGAUGUUGAAUUAAAAUAUCUACAUAAUGUAGCCGUUAUGAAAGAGG
rnacentral:rRNA from 1 species